AUAGUCAAUAGAAAUCUGUUUCUAGAUGGCACAUAUAAAUUUGAUAGCUUUUUUCAUACAAAAGUCAAAUGAAAAACAUAAGCUUUAAAUCAAAAUUGUAAAGCUUGACGUGAUCUAGUUGAUUUUUUCUUUUAAGAUCAUUUAGGUGCCCAAAUAUUAAUUAUAAGUUCUCAUAUAAAUGAUAACUUUUUGGAAUGAUUUUGAGAAACAAUUUCGGAACUACUAGCGCCUGGACGUCUGGCACCAACAACGCGUCCGGACGCCGAGCCCCCCCCCCCACCCGCGCCACAGAAAAGAAAAAAAAGAAAACCUCAUCCGCCUCUAACCAACUCAGCUUUGCCCCACUCGUUCCGCUCGGAAGACCGUUUCUUAUCGGUUCCUUCCCAACCAACUUACCCCUGCCCCCCUCGCCCCCACACAGAGGACCACACUUCGUCCGUUCCCCACGCAAGGAGCCCAUCCUCCGCCCCCACGAGCAUGGGAUCCGCCCUGCCCCUCGCUUUGUCAGCCCCUAGCAGAUCUGCCUGCCGCUAACUUGUCCCUACAACCUAUCCCCAUACUUGACCUGCAACACAAUAUGUAUAAUAGUGCAACAACACCUAACAUACUGCUACAACAAACAAGUUGUAGUAGCUGAAACAUCAUAAACAUCGUAUUACAACAAACAAGAACAAUUGCUGCAACAGCAUGCAAACAACUGCUACAACAUACAGAUUGAAGUAUUGGAUAGAACAGCUGAAACACCAUAAAUAUAGUAUUACAACAACAAAGAACGGUUGUUGCAACAACAUGUAACAACUAAUACAACAGCAUAGGUUGAAGCAUUAGAUGGAGCAACUGAAACACCAUAGACAUAGUAUUACAACAACAUUGACCAACUGUUGCAACAACUAAUACAACAGUGCAGAUGAAAGCAUUGGAUGGAGCAACUUAAACACCAUGGAUAUAGUACUACAACAACACUGAACAAAUAUUGUAACAACAUAAAACAAACUACUACAACAUGGAGACUGAAGCAACUGAAACAACAUCUCAAACACAAAACUGCAACAACGACUAAAACCUACUGCAACGUCUAGAUAGAACCAUUGCAACAAUGACGAGAUCUGAACCCGAGAGCUCGCCUGAACCCUAUCCUACUACAACAUCACCUGAAAAACAUACUGCAAAAAAAAACAGAGAACAUAAGCACUGAUCCCAAGAGCUCGCUGAAACCCUGGCCAACACAAUAUCCUGUAGAUCUAGAUCUAGAGGAAGAGCAGGAGGAGCAAGAGGUGGAGGAGGAGCAGAGGAGGGCUCAGAUCCAGUUCACAAGAGGAGAGAGAGAAAAGGGAGAUAAAGGCUUCGGAUCCAUAUCCCUCCCCAC
rnacentral:lncRNA from 1 species